rnacentral:tRNA from 1 species
ACGUUGUCAGUAUUAGCCGUACACUUGCCUUCCAAGCAAAAAGAUUAGAACCUAAACAACGUA